rnacentral:rRNA from 1 species
GAUGAACGCUGGCGGCGUGCCUAAUACAUGCAAGUCGAACGCUUCACUUCGGUGAAGAGUGGCGAACGGGUGAGUAAUACAUAAGUAACCUGGCAUCUACAGGGGGAUAACUGAUGGAAACGUCAGCUAAGACCGCAUAGGUGUAGAGAUCGCAUGAACUCUAUAUGAAAAGUGCUACGGGACUGGUAGAUGAUGGACUUAUGGCGCAUUAGCUUGUUGGUAGGGUAACGGCCUACCAAGGCGACGAUGCGUAGCCGACCUGGGAGGGUGACCGGCCACACUGGGACUGAGACACGGCCCAGACUCCUACGGGAGGCAGCAGUAGGGAAUUUUCGGCAAUGGGGGAAACCCUGACCGAGCAACGCCGCGUGAAGGAAGAAGUAAUUCGUUAUGUAAACUUCUGUCAUAGAGGAAGAACGGUGGAUAUAGGGAAUGAUAUCCAAGUGACGGUACUCUAUAAGAAAGCCACGGCUAACUACGUG